UUACGGCCACAUCACAUUGAAACGCCGGUUCCGGUACGAUCAUUGAAGUUAAGCAAAGCCGAGCCUGAUUAGUACCUAGAUGGGUAACCGCUUGAAAAUACCAUGUGUU